AAGCCUAGCUCCCUCCAUACAUGCGUAGGCCUCAGCAAGACUGCGGUACAAACUGCUUAAGCUCCCCCUGACACAUCGUCCAUCCUCAGAGGGCGUUUUAUUAUUUUAAUACUAGGAGGACUAAAAGAUUUAGGACUGAAAGCAUUUGAGUUGCUCUCAGCUUGGAGAACACACAGUGCACACAGUAGUGAGUUGAGAAACUGAACUGUUGCGAAACGGAGACCUUGGAACUAACGGUUUCUUCUACUGAGAGCAACAGGAGCCCGUUUACUUACUCCUUCAAGGCUGCCUCUGGUCUGGACUGAAAUCACUGUGGUAGUGUUUCACUGUUCAUCCCAGAAUCCAGCCACUUCCACUGAAUGCUGGAGUCAGGAGUGAAGCCCUGAGGAUCAAUAACGAUACUAAGAUCCCUCCACUGAUGCUGCCACAGGACUCCAACUGUGAGUCAUCGAUGUGUCUGCUUUUGCUAGGAUUUCCAACAUCUUUCAACUUGUGGCAUACUAUUUGGAUUAAAGACGCUGGCCUUAACUAGACUGGGAGAUAUGUCUGUCUACUUCCACUCAUCCAUCAUGGCAAUGCAAUAUCUAAACUGCUGAGAGUGUUUUCAAAUGAGGGAGGAGAGGCUUCCCGUUUACCUCGCAUCUGGAGAGAUAUUCACCAAAGGCUUGAAGGUUUCUUGUAAGUACAACUCUGCAUUUGUAGAAGGAAAACACAGUCAGUUACAGACCUAUUGUGUGUAAUGCUACUUUACAUUCAAAUAUUCUCGGCUGACAGGAAAGAACGAGACAAACCAGAAACCCAAAUAAAAGAUAAUUUAAUUUACCCCAAACUACUGUUACAGUCAUGGUUAUUUAAUGUGGCCUCAACUGUUUUCAGGACACUUUAAUUGUAGGAAAGGCUCUGAUGCAGAGCAAUGGCAGCGGAGGCUACUUGGCCCCAUCAAGGUCACAUUACUAUCCAGAAAUGAACAUGUACAGAAUCCCUUAGAACAGAUUUUCAUAAUCUGGGAACCAGCAUCACUCUAACCAAUGCUCUUCAAACAAUCUUGUUGAAUUUCACUAAACUGAUGCUUAAACCCCAGUAUGUUGGGAUUCUUGCUAGCAUAUGCAUGUUUUCUUUGUAAAGAAAUCAACUGUACUUAAUUUGGUUUGCUGAGGUCUGUGUGCAGACAGUGUCUUGAGAACAUCGUCAAUACUGUCUCAUCUUCAAGUACCCUGUAGGUGGAAAUGUAAGUAUACCUGCGCUACAGUCAAUGGAAUGCACGCAGCAUAACUGGAUCAUCAUGUUACUUACUGACAGGUCAUCUGGAUGACAUGCUGACUUAAUUCAAUCAGUCGGCCUUGAUAAAGCCAUGCUCAAUAAAAUAUUCCUUGCCAAGCUUUC
rnacentral:lncRNA from 1 species